CCACACACUCCUGGCCCCCAUGUCCCGCGUGCCCCCCGGCCGGCUUCCUCCCGAUAGCACCACUUCCUGUGCCGUGUGGACCGGCAUGGAGCACCGGUCUCAUGGCAUGAAGGAGACACUGGAGCCGGUUUGUUUGUUUAAUGCUCAGACAGGGGUGUGGCACAGGGGUGCGGAGGACAGUGGCUGCUCUUUCCGGGACAGGAGCAAAGGGCGACCCCGUUCCUGCUAAAAUCAGGGCGUUCUCGCUGCAGCAGCCUGGGCAGAUGUGUGCAGGAGGCCUCAAAGCCUUUUCCCCUUACCCCCCCCCCCCACACACACAAUUUGUUAAACAGAAGUGUAAGGAAAUUGAACGUGGUUUAUUCGGACUGGAUUAUUGUAGCGUGCACGCGAGUCAUUUUUAUUAAAUGCCUUUGCUUUGAAGCAGAAAGCCCAGCCUUUUGUUUUGUGAUGAAGAAUGCUGAGCUUCCUUCAUUUCUGUGCAGAUCAGACUGGCUUAUGCUGUUCCCCCCCCUCCCCCCCGCUGGGCUCCUGAGAUGGAGCGCGAUUAGUCUUCUGAGGUGGGCCCUGUUGUGAAGGCAGGCGCGGGGCGGGCGCGGGGUGGGUCCCGUCAGUCCGAGGUCCAGCCCGGUCCUCCCCAGCGGUGGCCCACGGGCCCAGUCAUGCCCUCAGGCCAGCAGCGCAGUGCGUUACAUCACCUGCUGCACGUCUGCCUGCCGUCUGCUCUGUUCUGAGAAGAGUGUUUAAUAAAAGCUGCCGCUUCAUUUUCCUUGCAGGGCUGGCCCAUUUCGAUAUUUUUGGGGCUCUCGUGUGCCAGCGCACGUUUGCGUUGGGCACGUGUCCGGCCUUGCGAGCGCGCCCUGUUUAAACGCUUUUUGCGUGAUGAAGCUGUUGGUGGAAAUGCAUGUUGUGAUGUCACAGCGAUGUCACAGGGUGGCUGUUUUGCGCUGGAGCUGCGUUGGGGGUGUAAAGCAGGAGGAACAGCGCCUCCUGCUGGCGUUAGACCUGCAGCCGCAGGAGUUUGGUUUCUGCCUCGGCUACUCUCACGGACAGCCCAGAAGCGCUCAAAGCUUCCCGUUUGUGGCAAGCGGCGUCAGAUCUGCUAUUUUGGGCGCCCCGGACACCAAGCACACCGGCGGGAGAACGCCAAAUUAAGCAAACUUCUGCCCUUGCCACAAUUAUGGUUUUAUUUAUUUUUUUGUGCACCCUUGUGGAAAUUUGAUGACGGCGUCACUGUCUGCCUUUCCCACGCUGCUCCAGGUGGCCUCUGGCCUACCUUACAGGGACCAGCGGGUUUUUGUUUAUUCUUCCACGCUAGGGGAAAACUGAAAUGGGAGGAGCUUAAUGGAGCACCAGUCAGCACCCCAGCUGCAGGACACCCGUUGCCUGCUGAGGACAUAUUCGAGAGGCAGGGAGGAGCUUGUUUUUAGGGUGGUCCCCCCGGAACCCCCCCGCCGCCCCACCUUUAAUCAGGUCUUGCCCCUCUGCAAUCACCCUUGAAGCCCUUUCAUCUCAGAGUAACCCAGCCUGUGUGGUGCUUACAGUCACGAUUGUUCACAUGACUUCCUUUUCCCCCAUUUUAUCUGUUGCAUUAUUUCAUAUCCCGGCUUUGUUUUAUGUUCAGAUACCCGUGCCCAUGUAAGUAAAUGAGCGGGGCCUGUGUUGCCUGUUUUCCAGAGCGAGGCUCCAUCCAUUCUCCCCCUCUCCUUUUUGCGGUAGGUGAUGAACUACGCACAGACAGUUAAAGAAUAGAAAACAGACGUGUAUCUUUUUUUUUUUUUUUUGUCUGUCCCUCCUCACCCGUCCCUCUGGUUUCCUGUGCGGUUCAAGAUGGAGGGCAGAUGUGGAAGCGAUUCGGGGUGAAGAUGGGGCGGCUGGCGUGACGUGAACACGGGCAGCGAUGCCUUUACGCAACACCUGAAGCCAGCGCUGCUCCUGGAGAUCUGCCGUCCUGCAGGCUUACAGCAGGGCUGUAAAACAAAGCGCACCUCAUCCAACAGCUAGGGUUCACUCCAACCCUAAUUAGGCACACCUGAUUCUACUAAUUAGCAGCUCGGCGAGAUCUCUAGCUGUUGAGUGAGGUGAGCUUUGUUAGGGUUGGAGUAGAAACCUACAGGACGGUAGAUCUCUAGCUGUUGAGUGAGGUGUGUUUGUUUGGGUUGGAGUGAAAACCUACAGGACGGUAGAUCUCUAGCUGUUGAGUGAGGUGUGCUUUGUUAGGUUUGGAGUGGAAACCUACAGGACGGCAGAUCUCUAGCUGUUGAGUGAGGUGUGCUUUGUUAGGUUUGGAGUGGAAACCUACAGGAUGGUAGAUCUCUAGCUGUUGAAUGAGGUGUGCUUUGUUAGGUUUGGAGUGGAAACCUACAGGAUGGUAGAUCUCUAGCUGUUGAAUGAGGUGUGCUUUGUUAGGGUUGGAGUGAAAACCUACAGGACGGCAGAUCUCUAGCUGUUGAGUGAGGUGUGCUUUGUUAGGUUUGGAGUGGAAACCUACAGGAUGGUAGAUCUCUAGCUGUUGAAUGAGGUGUGCUUCGUUAGGGUUGGAGUGAAAACCUGCAGGACCGUAGAUCUCUAGCUGUUGAAUGAGCUGUGCUGUUUCACAGUUGGAAUCAAAUCCUUGAGGACAGUAGAUCUCCAGGGACAGUAGGCCGGGGCUGGGUGGCCCUGCUGUACAGGGGGUCCGUGUUCACCCUCCUGGGUUGGAUGUGGCAGUAUUCGUUUGUUAGUUGGAGGAUGGCAGAGCAGGUGAUUGGGUAGACGGGGGCGGAGUUUGUUGAAGUCCCGGAGCGUGCGAAAUGCCUGCCACCGGACACGCACUCGUUCAGGUGGCCCCCCCAUUACUUAGCAACAUUACCGCCCCCUGCUGGCUGUUAACCGUUACUGCAGCGCGGCUGGGGCUGGGGGGUGCUGUGUGGCAGCCUGACCAAAGGCACUGCUGACUCAGUCCUGGAGAAACCGUGAAAAGGAAACGUCAGUCAUCAUUCCUCCCCUACCCACUCCCGCCCCCCAUUCCCCGCCCCUGUACUUAACCGUCUCCGUGGAGACCAUUCCGAAAUAGAACAGACCAAUGGGACGAGUCGGGCAGCGGCGUACGGGGGGGGGUUUCUGUGAGCUCGUUCUCUGCGGAGACCCACGUCUCUGUUUGGUGGAAGUGUUCGUUUUAUUUCCUCCCCCUCAUUUUGCAAAGUGGGAGUCUUUUUUGUCCCCCCCCCUCCUGUGGUUUGAGUUGGAUUUGAUGGCGGACAGGAAAAAGAAACGUGUUCUCUCUAAAAGGAAGCCAGCCUUUCACGCCUAGCACUUGUGCUGAACGCCGCCCCAAACGUCAGGUUAGAGUUCUGAGGGGAAUCUUCCUUCUCUGGAGUAUUAGACUCCAGCUUCGCUGGGGGGUUUUUUGUUUUGUUUUUGUUUUGUUUUGUUUUUUGCUGUUCAGUGUGAUCACCCUUUCUGCAGGAGAAUACUUAGCCGCACAGUCCGCCUGGUCGUGUCACCCUGGCGUUGUGUCCAUGUCACGGACGAGCGAGACUUGUGAAUAUUAUUUGAAGCACUAUUUCCAUCUUCAGUGGCUAAUUGCUAUGCAAUCCAGAUUUUGCUAAUUAUAUAAACAUGUAAGUCAAUGGCUAGCAUUUACACCUCAGUUGAGAUUUUCAUUCAAUCCUGUAUCACUGAUUGUUUUUGUUUGUUUUUUUUUGUUUGUUUGUUUGUUUUUGUAGGGACAAACCGGUCUCUGUGUAGUCCCCUCCAUUUUGAUUUCUGCCAGUUACAGCAGAACCAGAUCGCAAAAUUGUUUUGUAAAUAGCAUCAUUAAAAAUCAUGUUAAAAACGA